UACAGAGACUGCAAGCGUUAUUCGGAUUCACUGGGCGUAAAGGGUGCGCAGGCGGCCAAGUGUGUGAGGCGUGAAAGCCUGGGGCUUAACUCGGAAAGGUCAACUGAUACUGCGGGGCUAGAGUGCGGAAGGGGCAACUGGAAUUCUCGGUGUAGCGGUGAAAUGCGUAGAUAUCGAGAGGAACACCUGCGGCGAAGGCGGGUUGCUGGGCCGACACUGACGCUGAUGCGCGAAAGCCAGGGGAGCGAACGGG
rnacentral:rRNA from 1 species